CUGCGAACUUAGAACUUAUAUCUCAAGGUGGUUGGCGCAUUUACGUUGUAGAUGUCCAUGGGCUCCGGUAACCACUUAACACCAGGUGGGCUGUGAGCUCGUCCACCCAUCUAAGCAAUAAAAAAGUAACAAAAAAAAGACGGUUGACAGAUACAACUGUGUCCUCGAGGGCUUGUCUAAAGCUGUAUUUCCGUUGGGUUUGUCUAUGAACUGUGGUAUCCAUUUAUUUAACAGUCUGCACUUUAAAAAAUAACGAAAAUAAACCGUACGUGAACAAAAUGAUCGCUAAAGACGUGGCACACGAGGAGUAAACGGCGCUCGAUAAAACUGGUAUCCCGCGAACCAAGGUCACAGUUUCGACCAUAAAAAAAACCAAUGCUAUUUUACAAAUAUAAGUAUUUCGUAAUUUUCUUUUUUUUUUUUUUUGGUGUCCAAGGUUAUAAACAGGUUCAGAGCCAAGUUCAGCGCCACGUGAUAAGGUGUCAAUUGGUUUAUCACGAGCCACGAGCAAUCAUGACAUCAUCUACGCUCGAUUUCGUUGCGCAUCCGAAAUUCCAAUUCAGAACAGUUUGGCACGAAUCGAAAAUAAAUAAAACGUAUUUACUAUUUCUUUGCUGCUGAAAACAGACAGGCUAAUUGCUGCACUGGGAUGACUUAAUAGCAAAAAUUCUCACCUAACUGCAGGAAUCGAUCUAUUUCGAGGAUCGAAACACUAAUAUGUAUUAUUGAGUUUUUUCCUCAACAAUAAGGUGGAUCAAAACGGGAUACGCGACAUAUCGUAACUACAGAGAGAAAAUCAGCAGGUCCCGUUUUUUUUGGAAGCAAGGAAUAGUGGAAGCCUUUCCUCAUCAGGACAGGUGGGCGAGCUCGGGCACAGCCAGGAGGGUAGGAUUUGCUAACAGCUGCCCGAGUGCCUCCGAAGGAGACCUAACAGCUCAUGGGCAGUUGUUUCGCGAAAGCAUCUACUACCGAAUCGUAAUCGCGACCCGACUAUUUGCAACGUGGCUCUGUCUGGCUCUAAAAUUAACUCUUACUACGAAAGGUUCUGCUGCAAGGACCGCUUCAGCAAAAAUCCUCAUCGCUCACCAUCAUUAUCGCCUUUGUAGGGCAAUAAACAAAAACCUAAAACUUCUUGCACUUGUUCAGAUGACACAUACGAACAUGACAAUUUUACUGUCUCGAUCGUCAUUGUUCGUUGAAUAUUCCCAUCCUUCACUUAAUUCUUAGUGAAUAUCUGUGACCUUGCUCGUUCACGAAGCCCGCUAUAGAAAGCAGAGUAUUAAAUACACUUGACAUUGGCGAAAUCUAAAAGGAAACGCCAUAAACCUAAGAGAUAGUAGUAAUUCCCAUCCUUCGUUCCACAAUGAACGUCCCUGCCCAUGACUGACCGUCUGCAAUGUCGCUUGCUUCAUACGACAAUAAAUUAAGAAUUUGUCACGAAACGAUUUCUGAGAACGAGAUAAGAUGCGUUUUAUUUCGUUUCAAGGUUCACGAAGGGCAUGUGAGCUCAUAACAGUUCAGUAUCAAGUCGAUUUCUCCAUAUUAAUGUUUGGUAUAACGAUUGAGACGUUCGUCUCAAGGUACAAGGAAAAUAUGAAACUUCAACAAUCAUCAAUAAUAGCGAACUAUUUAACCCACUUAAAGCCACUGAAAAAAGAAAAAAUAAUAUAUGUUUUUGUUAUUUAUUGCGCAAUUCCCAUGGCCUGACUCGUGUAGGGUCAUCUGAAACCAUAGACGUGAUGAUGUGGAUGCCGCUAUCCGCUUUGAGACAUGAGACGAUUAUCUCAAUUCUAUAACCGCUUUCGUGCCUUUCAAAAUAUGAUACCCAACUGUUUUAAGGCCGAAAAAGCAGGAUAGUAGGACUUUAAGGACUUACAACACGCUCAGUAAAACCCGUUUGUUGACUUAGUACACUGAUACCAUACUCAUAUAGCUCUGUCUCUCCAAUGAAUCUCAUAGUCACUUUCUCACGGGAAUAGUUAGAGCGAUGCUAAUUUCAAUAAUAAAUUUAAUCAUAGCAUCGGAUGCCAAAGCGGUCUAUUGAUAAACAUAAGAUAUGAUUCCGAGGCGAGCAGGGUACACUUGAAACUUGAAACAAGUCACAUCACAUAAUUCUCGUGUCUGCGUUACUCGUGAAUUAUAGUUGCGGCUUGUCAUUCGAUAUACAGUUGAGAGGCGACCAAACUGUCUGCGAAAUUUUUUGGACUAAAAUCGAGAUCAGGUCUCAACUAAAUUUAUAUUCAAUAAAAUUAAAAUGCGUUGUAACACGAAAA